GCAUCUUAGACAAAGGGGGAAACACUGAUCUAGCAAUGCCGCGCGAUCGAUGAAGGCCUUAGGGUUGUAAAAAUCUUUCAGCUGGGAAGAUAUUGACGGUAUAAGCAGAAGAAUCCCCGGCUAAGACCGUGCCAGCAGCCGCGGUAAUACGGAGGGGGCUAGCGUUAUUCGGAUUUACUGGGCGUAAAGCGCACGUAGGCGGAUCAGAAAGUUAGGGGUGAAAUCCCGGGGCUCAACCUCGGAACUGCCUCUAAAGCUACUGGUCUUGAGGUCGAGAGAGGUGAGUGGAAUUCUGAGUGUAGAGGUGAAAUUCGUAGAUAUUCGGAGGAACACCAGUGGCGAAGGCGGCUCACUGGCUCGAUACUGACGCUGAGGUGCGAAAGCGUGGGGAGCAAACA
rnacentral:rRNA from 1 species